CACCACUCGAGUCUGACUCGGUAUUGGGCGCCGCGCACCGCCGCGCGCCUCAAAGUUUCCGGCUGGGCGGACCCGUCCCCGAGCGUUGUGGCAUCACAGUUCUCGCCUGGGAGUCGCGGGUUGGCUUGCGGCCGUUAAACACACCCAUCAAA
rnacentral:misc_RNA from 1 species